GAUAAAAUGGAUAUUUUGAGCAACCUCUGAUCAAAUGUUCAAGCAAUUCGAAUAAUUUCACAAAUCCGACUUAAUCCAUUAUUUAUCGUAGCUUUAUUUGAAAGCUGAAAUGUUAAUUUCAACUUUAUGGAUGAUUACCGAAAAUCAACCUCGAAAAUUGGGAGACGGACAAUGACAAUUUUCAAUAGGUAGAUAUAAUCAUGUUACAUUUUAUUAGAGAAAAUCUUAGAAAAUCCAACUGAAAUUUGAUAGAUUAUAAGAACACAUCCCGAAAAAUCAGUACAAAAGAGGACAUUUAACUCGUCGCAAUCUAAGUAAUUAUUGAGUGAACCAGCUUGUUCUAAUAAUUAUAAGAACCACAUUAUCGCAGACAAAAUUAAUUAAUUUAGACGAUAACUUAUGGCACAAGUCGGCAUAAUUGCAGUGCAAGGUUGUGAUGGAUUAUAAAUUCUAAUUAUAUCUACUACUAAUUGAA